rnacentral:lncRNA from 1 species
CUUACCGUCAGAGUGGGGAGGUUGCAACUUUUGCUCAGCAGAAUAUCAGAAUCCCUAGGAAACAGUGACAGGUGGAGUAUACAUACUCACCCCACUGGCUUUGGACUUGGCUAUGUGACUUGCUUUGGCAAAUGGAACAAGAAUGGAUGGAAUGUUUGUCAUGACUGAACAGAUUAUUUCAGAAGCAUUGCAAGUUUCCACUGGCCCUUUUGCUGUCCCAGAGAUCAGCUUCAACUUGGUUUUCAGAAUGAGAAGACAUGUAGAGCCCAGCACAGGCCAGCAGAGCUGCAGCUGACCCUCAGACCUAAGAAACAUGACCAGCAGAGCUGAGUGAUGAAUUAUGGUUAUUCCUUCCAUCCAAGGAGCAAAAUGGAGGCGAGCGACUACGCAUGGUGAACAGUGGUACAGCUGUCGGUCUCCGCUGGGCAAGGAGAAGAAGUCUGAAAGAGCUCACUCCUAUGCAUGACUUUAUCAGGGGAACUUCCAAAAGACUUACAAGGAUCUAUCUCCUGCCUCACAGGAAGAUUAGCCCUGAGCUAACUGCUGCAAUCCUCCUCUUUCUGCUGUGGAAGACUGGCCGUGAGCCUACAUCUGUGUCCAUCUUCCUCUACUUUAUUUGUGGGACACCUGCCACAGCAUGGCCUGUCAAGCGGUGCCACGUCUGCAACCGGGGUCGAACCGGUGAACCCCGGGCUGCCGAAGCAGAACGUCUGCACUUAACCGCUGCACCACCAGGCUGGCCCCGCCUUCUUUUUUUUUGAAGUACAGUUCACAUACAAUAUUAGUUUCGGGUGUACGACAUAGUGAUUCGACAUUUAUAUACAUUGUGAAAUGAUCACCAUGACCAUCUGUCACCAUACAACAUUAUUACGAUAUCAUUGACUAUAUUCCCCAUGCUGUACAUUACAUCCCCAUGACUUAUUUAUUUUAUAACUGGAAGUUUGUAUCUCUUAAUCCCUUUCACUUAUUUUGCCCAUCCCCCUACCCCCUUCUCUCUGACAACCACCAGUUUGUUUCCUGUAUCUAUGAAUUUGCUUCUGUUUUGUAUUGUUUGUUCAUUUGUUUUGUUUUUUAGAUUUCACAUAUAAAUGAAAUCAUAUGGUAUUUGUCUUUCUCUGUCUAACUUAUUUCACUUAGCAUAACACCCUCUAGGUCCAUCCAUAUUGUCACAAAUGGAAUGAUUUGAUUCUUUUUAAGGCUGAAUAACAUUCAAUCAUAUAUAUAUAUAUAUAUAUACCACAUCUUCUUUAUCCACCCAUCCAUUGAUGGAUGCUUAGGUUGUUUCCAUAUGUUGGCUGUUGUAUAUAAUGCUACAAUGAACAUAGGAGUAUAUACCUUUUUGAAUUAAUGUUUUCAUUUUCUUCAGAUAAAUGCCCAGAAGUGGAAUUGCUGGAUCAUAUGGUAAUUCUAUUUUUAAUUUUUUGAAGAACACUCCCACUCUUUUCCAUAGUGGCUGCAGCAGUUUACAUUCCCACCAACAGUGCAUGAGUGUUCCCUUUUCUCGACAUCCUCGCCAACACUUGUUAUUUCUUGUCUCUUUGGUAAAAGCCCUUCUGACAGGAGUGAGGUGAUACUUCACUGUGGAUUUCCUAACAAUAGAAACAUUAUACUCCUAACAAAAUUCAGAGGAAAGGGAGGCGAUAAAGAGGAAGGUAGUGUAGGUCGAGAGAGUUCCUUAUCUUCCAUAGCCAGGCAUCAAAGCUGAUAAACCGGCUUAUGUAAAUUUAUGUAAAUAUAUAAAUAUUAACAUUGACAAAAAUAAUACAAAUCAAUCCAAAUCAGCUAGUAGAGGAAAUAUUGGGGAGAGGAAGCGGGAAUUACCAAUUUCAACAUUAAUACAGUAAGGAGUCAAAGAAUGCUGAUCAAAGAAAUAGAGAUCUUAAAAAUGUAUUCUAUAUUCUUAUAAAAACAAACUACUAGAGAAACAAUUAAAAUCUCUCAUAUUAUUAGGAAAAAGAAAACACAGACCACAUAGUGAAAGAUAGAAAUUAAAGCAUCAAUAAAAACCAGAAAUAUAUCAUUAAUUACAACAAAAAUAAGAUCUGUCAUAUCCACUUCAAAAAAUUUACCCUACAAAUAUAUUCACAUAUAUGUGAAUGAUGUAUGUCCAAAGAUGUCUACUGCAGAGUUGUUUCUAAUAUCAGAAGACUGGGAACAAUUUAAAAGUCUAUUAAUAGCAAUUGAUUGAAUAAAUUAUAACACAUCCGUAAAAUGGAAUACUAUGAGCAGUCAAAAAGAUAGAGGCGGCUUCAAAAUCAUAUCAUUAGGUUUAAAAAUAAGGUAAAGAGUACACAACCAUUUGUAUGAAAGACCACAUGCACAUAGAACACAUGAAUCAGUGUAUGUGUGGAUGCAGGCAUAGACUGUCUCUGGAAGGACAGAGACAUGGGUAAAAACAGACGUCACCAGACAGGGAAAUUGGGUCUGUGGGGGAUGAAGGCAAGAAGAGUCAUUUUUCCCCAUAGACCCCUCUAUAACUCCUGAAUUGUGCAUGUAUAUAUAUUCUUUCUAGUCAAAACCAUAUAAAUUAAUUUAUAAAAGGCAAAAACAACUUUACCAGUUGGUUGAUGCUGUUGUGCAAGUGCCAGUUUAUCGUGGGUUGGGGACGAGAGGUGGUUUGACUCAGAAUAAUUCCCCGCCUAGAACGUCUCUGAGUAUCUACUUCGCUUGUGUGUCCCAUUAAGAGACAAGGUUUCAAUUUGCCUUGGAGCCACUUAGAGCUUGACUUCGACGGGACUUGAGCACAAUCAUCAUCUGAACUAGACAGAAAAGUACUGCUUCAAGAGAAGGGUAGAGACUGCCCGCCAUUUGUGGCAGGGCAAUGAGACACAGGCAACUGAGUGCAAUCAGAUGGAAGUUACAGUUACAAUGGUACGGAGGUAUGGGUGUCCACGGGCAUGCCAGGACAGCCUGCAAGGACAUCACCAAGUGCUCUUCAGUUUUUAACUUUCUCACUGAAUGUCCACUCCCAUUACGAGCACCCUCCCGCAUACGUCAUUUGAAGUGAGAAAACAGUUCGUGCUUUGCCUGCACUUUGUGGAGUUUCUCAGCUUUCUACGAAUAGAUUACAAUCUCUAGACCCAGGUCUGGGGACAGUUUACACAAGACUAGUCACACAGCAUGAUCUUCCACAAUUUGCUAUUUCAUGAGAAAAAGAAUCACAACGCCUGGGGAGAAAAAAGAAUUAUAAGGGCAGCCUCUCUCUUGAGAGUUGAAUUUGAUCCUGGAAGGGCAGCAAUUCAAUCUUUUAAAAGGCACAUCUCUGUUCUAAUCAAUCAAGCUUUCAUUUCCAAUGGCAAUAACCUUCCCGAGGCACUCAGGAAAUCAGAAACUAGAGCCUUGUCCCUGAAGAGACAAUAUGGUAUUUUCUACCAGGUUGAUUUGGGCUUACAAACCUAUCCAAGAUUUUGUCAGCAGGAAAUCUGAUGGUCCAAUAUAUCAUGAGAUGCCAACACCAUCUAUUAGCACAAAUCUGUCACAACAAAUGGAAAGAUGUAGUUUGCACCUGGGACUUAAGGAAUAGAGUUUCUGAAAAAUUUGAGAAGAAUCAGAGAUAAGCAAUAGCCUCCAGUAUGUUUUCCAACCUCUCACUGUGGGUUAUAUGGUUUUGUGACAGUUGUGUCCAAGGUUGACUAGAUAUUCUCGGCCACGGUGGUUCUGACCCUAGUUACUUAUGAUAGCAAGUAGCUUUGCAGACGUCGUUGGCCAAUAAAAGGCUCAGAAACCAUGGACAUGAUUCUAGUCCUCUGUUUUUUCCAUUAGCUAAGCUUUGUGUAAAGUGACAGGAAGAUUCAUAAAAUCUGGGUGACUCAAAUUUCAACAAAGCAAAAUUUCAAUUGAAUUCAAUGAAUUUCAAUGAAAUCAAUUUUCCAAAAGACUAGAAAAAUAAUACGUUAUGCAAAUACAUUCCAAGGGAUGAAUAGUCAAUAUUAUAUCAUGAUGGAGCUUGUAUCCUAACACACUGGUGUAUGGAUAGUUAACGGAUACGAAGUCACAAGGCCUGGCUUCAAGGCGCAGCACCCCCCACCCCACCACCUCAGUAAGAGGCGUGUGAGGGUUGGAAGCCAUUUGACUUUCUAAGCCUGCAAAACAGGGAUCAGCAAAGCUGGUCUGCCCUGCCUUGGGUGGGCUGGGAGGAGGGAAGGAAGUGGAGUUUGUGAUCAUGUUUUGCAUGUUACAAGUGAUGUUAUUACUAUUCGGGCAGUUCUCAACGGUAACAAUUCUGGGCUCUUCAUGAGUACUCUGCUUCUGGUAUGUUAUACGACAAGUUCCUAGUCGGAUCUAAAUCUUUAAAAAAACCCGCUUUAUUGGUAUGAUUGACAUACAAAAAGCUGUACAUAUUUAACGUACUGAACUUGAUGAGUUCAGAGAUAAGUAUACACCCAUGAAACCAUCGCCACGAUCUAGGCCAUAAACAUAUCUAUCCCCUCCAAAACUUUCCCGCUGCCCUCAUUAUUUAUUUAUUUGUGUGAUAAGAACACUUAGCAAAUUUUUAAGUACACAAUACAGUAUUGCUAACUGUGGGGCCUGUGCUGUUCAGUAGAACCCUAGGACUCGUUCAUCUCGUGUAACUGAAACUUCUUGAUCUAAUUCUUAAUUUAAAAUUUCCUGCCACUAUUAUCAUAAAACUUUUUAUGGCUUAAACAUUAACAGUGUUUUCAUAAAAUAAAGGUAAUAAUAUUGUAUUUCAUGACACUUUUAGAUUAGUACUGAUCAUUUCAUCAGACAUGCAAUUAUAAAAGUCACUUGUUACAACUACGCCUCUCUCUACUGCUUUUUUCCGAUUAAUAUACAUAAUUAUUCUAAAUCAGUAGAAUUGCUUAACACUCCUGUUAG